GUCUACGGCCAUACCACUCUGAACAUGCCCGGUCUUGAUUGGUCUCAGAAGCUAAGCGGAGGCUGGUUAGGACUCGGAUGGGAGAAACAGAGUGAAUGAGACCCACCCAUGCCAGACA
rnacentral:rRNA from 1 species